AAGGCGAAAGAAUAGUUCGCU
rnacentral:snRNA from 1 species